rnacentral:lncRNA from 10 species
GCACGCAAAAGAUGGUUAUGUUGGUGCAGCCUCUCAAGAUGCCCAUCACCAGUGAUUAUGAGAAAUCCUUCUCUCAAGGUCAGCUUCUGGGAAUUGAACCUAACACAACUGGGUACUUUUGGAUGCAUUCUGGAGGAGAACUGUUUCUGGAAAAUAAGACAUCAUUACUGGAACUCUGCAGAUGAGAAUGGCACCAUGAGUUGUGGAAGAACAAUAACUAGCUGCUGUGUUGCUGUUUAACACUUCUUGUAUGAUUUUUUGAGACAUGGGGUGACUCCCAAGUUACAUUCUCUUCCUGACUUUUAGUUGUAUCAAAUGUAAAAUGAGGGUGUAAAAUUAGGUGAUUGCCAAAGUUCCUUCCAGCUGGAAAAAUUCUAUGAUGUAAAUCAGGGGUUGGCAAAUUAUGGACCUCUGGCCAAGUCCAGCCAUACCUCCUUUUUUUUGAGUGAAGUUUUACUGGAAUGCAGCCCUGCUCAUUAGUUUAGGUAUUGUUUAUACCUGCUUCGUGCUGCAGAGUUGGGUAGCCUAGGCUACUCUGCAACUCUAUGAGACUCAUAAUGAUUAUUAUCCUCAACAUUUUAAAAAACAGGUGAGGAAAUUGAGACAAAGCAAAUUUAAGUUGCCCAAGUUUACAGGAUGAGUAAUGGCAGAGCUGAUGUUCGUAUUCAGCCAAACUGCCUCCAGAGUUGGUGCUUUUAACCACAGUGCUAAACUGCCCUGAUUUAAGAAGCCCACAAUGAAAGUGAAUGUUAAAACCUUUUGACUCAUAGUAAUUAAGAUGUGCUUGCUUUGUUUUUAGUAUGAGGGUUAACAUUAACAGGAAUACAUAUGGAAGAAUGGAUGGAGGAGAGGGAAAGGGGAAAAUUCUGCAAGCUCAACAAAGUUAGAAAAUAAUAUCAACAAUAAAAUAUGGCCUGUUUAUUUAUUUUUUUUUACCAUCACGUGCAAUCCUACAAUGUGGUUUCAUGUUCCCUUCAUUUUUCCUCAUGGUGCAAAUCACAGACACAUUUACAAACAAAUUCACAACUAAGAUGCUUAACUUGGUCCUCAGCAUGCCAGCAUCCUGUGUCUGUGGAGCAGAACUAAUCAUUUUAUGUCACUUCUCACUUCUCCUCCCCUCCCACUUCCUUUGAGAUUGCAAUUCUGCUUAGGCAAUGUGAUGAAUGACAAUGCCAAGGGUAGAUAAUUUUGCUUUUGACAAUUUACACUUUCACAGUGCAUCAGCACAAUGUUUUGUAAAUGUUUUUGGUUUUUAGAUCACAUUGACAUUAAUCCUCUCAAAAUAUAUUUGUGUAUCCUUUUCCACUGUGGUGAAGGCUCAUUUGAAUGGAACAAGUUUAAACACUAACUUAAAUUGAAGAAGGAAAUAUCUUAAAGAAGAAAGGAUGGAGAGGUAUUUUCCAAUUUAUCUUUCUUAAAUCACAGCUAGAAUUCAAGUCAUAGAGGAGUAGGAGUGGCUAAUAUAAAUUUUUGUUUCCUUUUCUUUUUUUCUUUUUUUUCUUUGAGAUGGAGUAUUGCUCUUAUUGCCCAGGCUGAAGUGCAGUGGUGUGAUCUCA